UACGUAGGGGGCGAGCGUUGUCCGGAUUUAUUGGGCGUAAAAGGCUUGUAGGUGGCCACGCCAAGUCGGAUGUGAAAUCUCCCGGCUCAACUGGGAGGGGUCAUUCGAUACUGGCGGGCUCGAGGCCGGUAGGGGGAAGUGGAAUUCCCGGUGUAGUGGUGGAAUGCGUAGAUAUCUGGAGGAACACCGGUGGCGAAGGCGGCAUCCUGGACCGGUAUUGACGCUGAGGCGCGAAAGCUAGGGGAGCAAACGGG
rnacentral:rRNA from 1 species